rnacentral:lncRNA from 1 species
UUCAUGCAUAUCUUUAUUGUUGAUUAAUUUGCAGGAAUGAAAAAUUGAGCAUCUUGAAAGCAAGCAGGUAAAGAUUUGAUCUUUUGCAAGCAUACACGAUCUCUUCCUCACUUGAUGUAUUGGAAGUUUCUGCUUCUGUUGAUAAAUGAUCUGCAGGUUAAGACUAACUCGGGUUUGUAUUAUCUCUGCCAAGUAAAAUACUAAAGAUGGAUUGACUUAGGAUUGUCCUAUAUAGAAUAAGGAUUGAAUUUUUACCAACCACAUAGAAUACGAUUUAACUUUCCUACUUUUAAUGGAAUUCACAUGAUUCCCACAUCGAAUAGAAAUCAAAAGAAUCCUCUUUUGUUUCCAAAUAUAUAGAGGCUUACAAUUGUGUUUUAUUCAUUCCAAUUUAGAAAAAUAUUCAUGGACUAUCUUGGUGGCUGGUGUAGUAUGCAUGAUGAAGCAACUACUCAUUAUAUAGACAUGAUUGACAAAACAAACCCUUUCCAUCAACUAAUAAAGAGUCAGUUCAAUAAGACUUAUCGUGGCAGAUCAAUCCAUUUGGGAACUCUGCAAUUCAAGAUUACCUACUUGGGGCUGAGGUAUUCAUAAGACAGUUGUUGAAAUUCGAAGAAUCGUCAACUUAACACAAUCCAUGGACUGGAUAUUCUAUGUUUAUAUAUUACAAAUUUUUUAUUCUUACUUCCAUCUUUAAUUAAUUAUUUUUUGUUUUUUUGUUUCUAUAGUUGGGAUUUCAUUCCAUUCAUUUUGCAUGGAUUGAUUAUCAAUACAAGGUAAAACUUGAUGCAGAUAAAUCACUUAAAUUUAUAUCGCAGGCUUCCAUGACAUUUGGCUCCUCUUCUCAGGUUAUGAAUGAAACUGGUGAUCCGUACACAUUUUUUCUUAAAUUGCUUCGUUUUUUAUUAAUUGGAGGUCUGAAUCCUUGCAGAUACUUACCGAAUCAUUUCAUGUUCAUUAUAGUUCACCAUUGGUUUCCAUUUUGAAGUAGAUGAUGACUCCAUCCUGGUCAAGGUUCUAUCUUCAACCAAACAUUAGUUAGUCCCAACAAUCUUUAUGGUUGUUGUUGUCGAUUUUAUCCCGCAAGUAUACGAAUCGUAACAAGUAGUAAAGUGAACCUAAGAGUCCUAGUUGUUGAUUUCAUAAGGACUAUACUUUAGCACUUAAUUCAAUUUUCCUUAACCAUUAUUUGAUGAAAAUAAACAAAAAUGAUGAUCGAUUGUGAUUUUUAUCUAACUACUUAAAAUGAGAAUGGAUGCAACGAAAAGUGAUUUGGAAUUCAAACAAUAAAUGAAUGUUAGGGCGAAACAAUUUCACCUAUUGGUUACAUUUACUUCUAAUAUCGAGAUUUAUAAAAUCUAAAGUAGUCUUUGAUCAAAAUUUUCUACUAUAUUCAAUUUACUCUUUUCAAAUUUUCAUUGAACUCAUUUAACUACUUCAAUUCCAGAUUUCUAUGUGAAUUAAAUUUAGUUAAACGCACUAAUAGUUCCAAGAAUUUAUUUACGACCACAAUAAUUAAUAUUGGUAUCUCUACACAUUAUAUUAAAAUAUCGAAUUUUAAUAUAUGGUCUAAACAAAAAUUCACAUUUCUACGCAAUUAUUGUUCACGAAAUCAUUGAAUAAUUGGCAAAAAAAUUAAAGGCAUUAAGAACAUAAUUAAAAUCCACACAUGUAAUUAUAGCAAACAAGAAUCUCAAAUAAAAGAAAUAAAGGUUCUUAAAUCAGUUAUAUUAUUCGUCUUAAAAUUAUAUUUAGCUACUCAUAGUAAUGAAAGUAAAAUAAGAAGUUAUUAUGGAAGAUAUCAUCAGGUUUUGAAUAAGAAUAUAGAAUAAGAAAUAUCUUCUUUUUCUUCCAAUUAAUGCAUUAAACUUUCAAUUGCUUUCUGUUUUCCUCCUUUGAAUUUCUUUUUCAAUUCUCCAAUUAUAUUCUCUUGCUUCUCAAUGUUUAAAAUCCCCUACAAAAGUGUGGAAAAAUUGUAUUUAUAGGUGUCUUGUCGUGUGUAGAAGGUAAGGUUUUCAUCAUGACUUCAAAAUGGGGCUGAAAUCUCGCUUAGGUUACGAAUUGGUGGUUCCGCGGCGCCUAGAAUCCAGCGCUGCAGCAUCGCGUCAAAAAUAGGUGGUGGAUGGCACUGUGCCGCCACGUCUCUGGAUAUCCGAGCGUUGCAGUGCCCUGAAGUGGUGCCACGGCCACAUUUCAGACAGACAACACCUAUUUCAGUAUUUUUAUCAUAAAUUUCUUUUUCAAUGUCCGAUUGAGGCGAUUCAAGAUGCGUGGGAAAGCUAACUUAAAGGGAUACAACUUCGCAUCAAAUAUCAUUUUCAAGUUUUAUCAUUUUCUAUGACAAAAUUGGGUCUCAAUGUGAGGCUGAAAAUGGUGCAUAAAUUUUUAUUUUUAUUUUUAUUUUUUCAGUUUGAACUUGAUGUGUGAUCAUACUUUGAUUAUAUUUAAUCCCUUUGAUGUCUUUCUUUAUCCAGUUGGCUUCGAGAACUCUUAAAUCUUCAUCAUGAGGUCCGACACAACUUUUGAGUAUUUACACUUUAGUCCCCCAACUAUGGAUCUCUUACAACUUAGCCCUUUUCUCCAAUUUUGCCCACUUUUGCUUCUUCUACUUUUUGGUACCAUAAUUGAAUUUCACCUAUUCAACACCAAAUACAAUAAUUUAGACCAUAAUUUAUCAAAGAAGUCAUUAAAUAUCAUCGUUUUGAAAUCUUGAAUAAGUAUAUAAAAUACACUUAUCAGUUGUAUAAGCUUAUACUUAAGCUUCUCAACUUGUCAAAAUGCAGAUAAUUUCCUUCUUUUUGACUUCAAUGUCGACACAUGAGUUAAUGGUUUUAUCAGUGCUGCAAUGAUUCAAGUAAAUUUCAAUAUUUCUUUUAUAGAUAAAUAGCACAAAACGUCCCUACCUUUCAAUAUCAUUGUGCAAAACGUCACUACCUUUCAUUUUUUGAUAUUUUCAUCUCUAUUUUCAUCUUUUAUUGCGUAAAAAUCAUUUUCAUCCAUUUUUAACGAUUUUACUCUCCUUUCAAAUAAAACAAAAAGAAAAGAAAAGAAAACAUAGAGAACUAAUUGCAUCUAUAACCCUAUAUUUUUAAAAAUUACAAAUCACUCACAAAAUAUAACAAAUUUAUUCCAUCAUUUUAUCCCCUCCACUUCAUAUCAGGCUUCCGUCUCCACCUCUUUACAAACUCAACCAUCUUAGCAACGGCAGAGGCAUUCAACAUGGGCUUUUUAAUCCCUCCAACCAUUACAUGGUCAUCAACAUCUGGCUUGACCGAUCUUAUUCCCUUACCAGAGAAAAUAAUACUUCUUGACUCGUCUAAAUAUUGUAUUUCCUCAGUCCACUCGGUGGAAUCUUCACUCCUAUGAUUCCCCGAACAGUAAUUUCUACAGUUCUUUGCAUUAAUUGGUGGGGAAUUCAAAAUGGGGUUACUGAAAUAUGAUAAAAAUCUCAUCUUUAUUAAAUUUUUAUUAAGAAGAUAUCUUCCAUGCCUGAAAUUUUUGGAAAACAAAAGGGUAUCCAGAAGCAUUUGGUAAAUGUGAAUAAAUGACAUAACUGAAGACUAGAAAAAUUUUGGAAGGUCGCGUAUGUACGGAAUAUUGAGGAGGAUGACGGCGAAAUCUCCGUAUGUAUGGACUAUGGUGGAGGGGAUAAAAGGUUGAUAUAGAUGUACUAUAUUUUGUGAGUAAUUUGUAAUCUUUUGAAAAUUUGGUAUUAUAGUUGCAAUGGUCCUCUAUUUUUCCUUUUCUUUUCUUUUUUUCCCCCCAUUCGAAAUGAGGGUAAAAUCGUCAAAAAUGGAUGAAAAUGAUCUUUUGAGCAAUGAAAUGUGGGAAAUAGGGAUGAAAAUGUCAAAAAAUGAAAAUUAGAGAUGUUUUGCACAAUGACAUUGAAAGGUAGUGAUGUCUUGUGCUAUUUACGCAUAUAUUAUUCCUUAAAUUCAACAGUUGCUAAAUCUUCUUAUUGAGCAGUGCAUUCAUUUAGAAGGUAAGACAGCAUAUGCAGUUGACCAUUUGGUCUUUCUUACAUAGGCAAACGAUACUUAAGCCAAUGAUAUGAUGUGGAACAUGGAAGAUGACUUCCAAUAUCAAAAUGCUGAGUCUUGGUUCAAGCAAAUGGACAAACUAAUUCAUUACGUUAACAAAGUACUAUUUUUCUGCUUUGCUUUCCUUUCUAGGUUUUUGGAAGAGACACUGACAAAUUUGAUGGCUUCAGAUACAAAUCUAGACAAAGUGUGAAAAUAAUUUCCCUCAAGGAAACAAAUUUUAUUUCGAUUCAUUUUUCUGUCCAGGAACUUCUAUAUAUCAACAUGAACUCCAGAUUUCUUACCCGAAGAAAGUAUAUUAUGUUGCUUUGAAUCCCAAGCGAGUAAUACGAAGACAUUGAGGGGGAUAGAAAGUGCACCAUGUUGGGCUCAUUUUAUUUUCUGCUUAUUGUAGUUUUUUGAAUUUUUUUUUAUCUUUCACUUGUGUAUGUAAUCUGAAACCUAUAGCAACCCCUCUUUGUCGAAUGAUACAUUCUAUGAAUUUUUUCAUGUUUUCUUGUCG